AUGUGGACAGGGCCUGCCCGGACCCCCAGCCCCUCGGCCUCCUGGAGCAGCCAGGACGACGGGGAUUGGCCAAGGGCACCGGGGCAGGGGCCAGCGGGGGUUUGCCAUCCCAGGGCGAUGAGCAGCGUGGAACAGAGGAGGAGGAGGAGGAAGGGGCAGGAGGAGAGGGAGGGAUGGGGGCGAGGAGAAGCCGGGAGUGGGUGGGGGCAGAGCUGGUCUCCUGCCUCCUGCUCGCUGCCUGCGGGCUUGGCCCCUGCCUUCCUGCACCGCUCGCCAGCCCCCCACGCUCACGCCCCCCACGCACACGCUGGGCAGGUGCGCCCCAUUCACACCCAUGCAUGCUGGCCGUGCACAGGCGCCCGCGUGCACCCGGAGAGGCAGGCCGUCUGCACGCAGGUACACCUGUGCACUCACGUGUGCACACCCCCCCCCCCUGCACGUGUGCGGAGACGCCCGGCGAGGCCCAGUGAGGGUGCGGCGUGGGCAGGGCUGCUCGCGGGGCGCUGUGCCUGUCUCCACACAGGCACCGUCCACCCGUCUGUCGCCCUGCGCUCGGGCGCCGCCCACCCCUGCCUCCGCUCAGCUGGGCCGCGUGGCCUCCCCGAGGCCGCCCAGCUGCGGUCCCAGCAGCCCCACCGCGUCCCUCCUGCCUCGGCACCCGUGGCACCGCGGAGCCCGUGGGGCAGGCCCGCGAGGACGCAGCAGGGAGCCGCGGCUCGUCUGUCGGGCUGGCCCUCCACCGGGGCCUCGGGGGGCUUGCGGGGCCGGGUCGCAGCUCCGGGUACCACCCCUCAACGUGCCGCAGGGCAAGCCCAAGGCGUGACCCACACCGUCCCAGCCGUCCGCCACCCGUGCCAGCUCCCCGGCCGACACGAGCAGGACGGGGUGUCCCGCUGUCUGGGGACAGCAGGGCGCCGAGCCAGACCGAGGAGGACUGGGCACCAGCGCAGCGGGGGCCUGGGCCCUGCCCUGCCUCACGCCGCUUCCCACGAGAGCACCCUACUCUGCGGCGCGCUUUUGUUGUUGCAAAGGGAAAAAUGA
rnacentral:lncRNA from 1 species